GUGGUGGACCAGAGCGCUUCAGCUACACCAACUGGUACUCUCAGAACAGUCCCAGCAGCUACCCGUGCAUUUACCUCCGGACCGCAGGCGGCUGGUACAAUAAUGUAUGCAGUACUUCAAGGCCUUUCAUCUGUGUGAGGAGAACAGACACCUGCUGAACCAGAAGCCUCUCAGCCUGAUGGAUGGUAUCUUGAAUACCUUGAAUUGUUGACACAGCUUAUUUGAUCUUUUGGAAAACUGUAAGCCCCAAUCAGCUGCACAAGCUGAAUGUUUUAUGAAAUGAUGAUUUGCUGAUUACUUCAUGCUGUAUGUAUGAAAUUACUUUCUUUUUUUCUUUCUUAAGAAGCCACAGGUCCAUUGCUUAUAUAUUUUUUACGAAAGAUUUUAGAGACAUAAAAGUUGCACUUGAAAUCAAAAUAUUUGUUAUGAAUAAAGAUAUAUAUUGUGACGUA